GAUGAACGCUGGCGGCGUGCCUAAUACAUGCAAGUCGAACGCUUCACUUCGGUGAAGAGUGGCGAACGGGUGAGGAAUACAUAAGUAACCUGGCAUCUACAGGGGGAUAACUGAUGGAAACGUCAGCUAAGACCGCAUAGGUGUAGAGAUCGCAUGAACUCUAUAUGAAAAGUGCUACGGGACUGGUAGAUGAUGGACUUAUGGCGCAUUAGCUUGUUGGUAGGGUAACGGCCUACCAAGGCGACGAUGCGUAGCCGACCUGAGAGGGUGACCGGCCACACUGGAACUGAGACACGGCCCAGACUCCUACGGGAGGCAGCAGUAGGGAAUUUUCGGCAAUGGGGGAAACCCUGACCGAGCAACGCCGCGUGAAGGAAGAAGUACUUCGUUAUGUAAACUUCUGUCAUAGAGGAAGAACGGUUGAUAUAGGGAAUGAUAUCCAAGUGACGGUACUCUAUAAGAAAGCCACGGCUAACUACGUG
rnacentral:rRNA from 1 species